AUAUAUAUACACACACACAUGUGUGUAUGUGUAUAUAUAUACACACACACAUGUGUGUAUGUGUAUAUAUAUA
rnacentral:pre_miRNA from 13 species